rnacentral:miRNA from 5 species
UGGUGGGCCGCAGAACAUGUGC